rnacentral:rRNA from 1 species
ACAUGCAAGUCGAGCGGGAUUUUCUUUGGUAGCAAUACCGAGGAAAAUUCAGCGGCGAACGGGUGCGUAACACGUGGGCAAUUUGCCUUAAAGUGUGGGAUAGCUCGGCGAAAGCCGGAUUAAUACCGCAUGUGGCUACUGGAGACAUCUUCGGGACGCUAAAGGUGGCGCAAGCUACCGCUUUUUGAGAAGCCCGCGGCCUAUCAGCUUGUUGGUGAGGUAACGGCUCACCAAGGCUAUGACGGGUAGCUGGUCUGAGAGGACGACCAGCCACACUGGGACUGAGACACGGCCCAGACACCUACGGGUGGCAGCAGUCGAGAAUUUUUGACAAUGGGGGAAACCCUGAUCGAGCGACGCCGCGUGGAGGAUGAAGGUCUUCGGGUUGUAAACUCCUGUCAUUUGAGAACAAGGCGUAUUUAUUAACUGUAAGUACGUUGAUAGUAUCAGAAGAGGAAGAGACGGCUAACUCUGUGCCAGCAGCCGCGGUAAUACAGAGGUCUCAAGCG